rnacentral:rRNA from 1 species
UACGUAGGGGGCAAGCGUUGUCCGGAAUCAUUGGGCGUAAAGAGCGCGUAGGCGGUCCGGUAAGUCCGCUCUGAAAGUCCGGGGCUCAACCCCGGGAGGCGGGCGGAUACUGUCGGGCUAGAGUCCGGAAGAGGCGAGUGGAAUUCCUGGGUGUAGCGGUGAAAUGCGCAGAUAUCAGGAGGAACACCAAUGGCGAAGGCAGCUCGCUGGGACGGUACUGACGCUGAGGCGCGAAAGCGUGGGGAGCAAACAGG